AAGUAAUGAAGUAAUAUUACACUUAGUUUCGACCUAAUUUCAGAAUUAAUAAUUCCUUACUUG
rnacentral:tRNA from 1 species